rnacentral:lncRNA from 1 species
UUAUUCUAUGUUCUAAGGUUUGUGAAUAAUUUCUCAACCAUCAUUUCAAGAGCACUAAAGGCCGUGAUUAUAAAUGGAGAACUAUGGUAAUAUAUCAUUAAAGAUUUAAAUAUCUCUUUGUGGUCUUUUGAUUUUACUUAUUAUAGAAAAAAAUUGUUUUUAGUUCUUUUAAACUUUAAAAUUGUUAUUUUUUUAUAUCUUUAGUGUUAUAUGACACUGAUUAACUAUUUAUUGAAUGAUAAAAAAACUCAAGUGACUAUUCAAGCGACACACAUGACUUAUUAUAGCUAAUUUGUAUGAGAAAAGUCUUUGAUAUCUUAGAGAUUUGGGAAACAAAUGCACAUAAUUAAUUACCUUGAAUAUAUAGGCUAGAUGUAUAUGAUGCUUUUAAUUUCUGGAUAAUAUAUCUUAGUACACUCCAAGCACCAUUGCAUGAGUAUUCAUGUUACAAUGAUUUCUUUUGCUCAUUUGUGUCAACACAUUUCCUUAUUCAAGUGAGUUUCUUUUAUUUCUAUUCCAUUUUCUUCUAAUUUGGUGGGUUAUAUUUCAAAUUAACUUAUUUGUAAUGUUUAUGGAAUUUUUAAUUUGAGAUGGUGUAUAUAAACUGUUUAGAAGCAUAAAUAUAAGGUGUUAUGUUUCAGAUUGUAAAAUACAUAAUGCUUUUAUAUAAAUACAAAAAUGUUUUAUGGAUGCAUUCAAAAAUUCAUAUAAUGCUUUUAUAGAUACAAAAAUGUUUUAUAGAUGCAUUCAAAAAUUCAUAAAGACAUAAGACAUUCUGAAUUUUGAAAUCAAAAUGUAGAAAAUGCAUUAUGAUAUUUGCUAUCUUAUCUUUAUUUGAUAUUUGUCAUCGACAUGGAAUCUUCUUAUGCAUUUCUUGACGUACACUUGAAUAAAAGCUUGAUGUAGCUAGUUUUAUUAUUGAAUAUUUCUUGCACUUCAAAAAUUGUUUUAAUAAGAAAAUAAUUCAAAAAAUUUAUUGAAUAUAUAACAUUGAAUUUUUUCAAAUACGUAUUGUACAAUAUAUUAUUUUCAUAUAAAAGAAGUUAGUUUAUAAUCAUUUGAUGUGAAAUAUUUUUAUACUUGGAUUCUGAAGUUGAUGGUAUGAAUUUAAUAAAUUUAAAAAAAAAUUAUAUAAUAUAUCUUUGUUACAACUUGUUUAUGUAAGACAAAGUUUAAGGAUAUAUAAACAUACAUAAGAUGUUGAAACUGUUUGUAUCAUUAAAUGGACUAGUUGUCCUACCUCUAGCACAAAACACAUAUUUGUUCAAAUAAUAAACACAUAUAUGAAGAUACUUUAGUCUAAGUAUGUCAUUAAAGCUCUUCUUAAAGAGUCCACUAGCGUUAGGUUGUCUAUAUGAGCUACAUAGAAGUUAGAUCAUCUAUGUUCUCAACAAAGUUUUGAUGAUAGCUAAUGUUGAAUGAGCUAUAUACAUAUUAUUACAUACAGGAACAUUUUAAUGUGUGUAAGUUAAAGCUCAUGAGACUAUCCAAUGGUCACUAUCAAUAUUAAAUGCUACAUGAAGUUUUACAUAUUAAGGUUAAAACUUAUAUCUAACUAAAUUGUAAUCAUAAAUUAUUUCUAGAGAUAAAAUGAAUCUUGGUAAAUUUGUAGUGUCACAUACGUCUUUAAUGAUUAAAUGCAACAUGCAAACGUAGAAUUUAUAUUCUAAAAUGUUCAUAUUAGAAUAUAAAAAAGAAAACAAAAGAAACAUAUUUUGAUUUACAAUUAUAUUGUAUUAUGUUUUUAUUACAUGUAUUUGAAAUGUUUCCUUAUGAAAAUAAGAAAGAGUUAAAGAGUAUAAAGGUUUUUUAUAAAAGUUUCUAGUCAACCCAUGUUAAGGGCCAUGUUAAGGGACGCAAUGCGUAAUCCACAUAGAUGAUAAAAGCUUAUUUCAAAGGAUUCAAACAAAAUAAGAUUGAAGCAGCGAUUAUCUUCAAAUGGUCUAUAUAAAGGAUUCAAGUUAUAUGUGAAGUACGUACAAGAGUUGUACAUUUUUCUAAGACUCAUAAUUUGCUAAGUGUUCUUUGUGGGUGAUGUGAUUCCAAUAACAUGAAAGAGAUAUGAUAUGGACAUGUUAUGGAUUCAACAAGAGUUGGAAUAUGAUUAGGCACUUUUUAAGAAUUGGAUCAAUGUUCUUAACAUUCAAGAACUCACCAAAACACAAGUAACCAAGCCAAACUCACAUAGAAACCCAUAAUAUGGCAUAUGAACCGAUUAAAACAAGAAAGAACACAAAUGAACCGAUUAAAACACAAGGAAACACAACCAAAACCACAAGAACAGCAAACUAGAAGAAACUACCGAACAAAAACACAAAACAAAACUAUUUCUACCGAUUGAAAAGACAAGAAACAUCAAAGACAUGUUUUAGAGUUUGUUUUGGAAUGGAAAUGGAUGAAGAAGAUGAAAAGAACUAGGAAACUUAUGUGGUUGUAGCUCUUGAAGAUGUGCACGCCACUUGAAGGAUGAAAGGCUUCAAGAUGAGUGUAGUUGCCGCCACUUGAGAGUCCAAGAAUGCACUCAAGAUAAGACUAGAAGAGAAGAAGUUACAAGUCUCUCUCAAUUCACUCACCAAUUUGGGAGAGGUUCUUUUCUCAAAAAAUCAAUUCUUAUUAUUUCAAAGACCUAAGCACCCUUUUUAUAAUAGAGAGGGUUAGUCACAAAGUACAAGAAAAGCUUACAAGAGAAGCUUUUGAAAGGUCACCUUCCUACUCCUUCUAUUCUAGCGCCUAAAGGAGUGUGAAGAGACAACUUUCUAGUUUCUUCCUAAAAACUAACGCCUAAGGUACUUACAAAAGAGGUGUCUUUUUGGUUUCCCUCUUAGUACCUUCCUAAACACUACUCCUAUAUGUUUUACAAAUUUAUACAAAAGAAAUUACAAAGAAAAAUAUUAAUUGGAGCCCAUUCUUGAAUUCUUGUUGGCUUUGGGCUUGAUCCUCUCUUUAUUUAAUUCUUCUUUAAUUUUUUAGAAGACUAGAAGGAAGAACUUUAAAUGUUUGGGUGGAUGGCCUCUUCCUCCAUUAGUAAAAUCCUCUCUUACUUGAUCUCCAUCAGUGGGUGAGCUAAACCUUUAUAUUUCUUUACUCUGUGAAGUAAAUCUUGUGAGCUUAAAUUAUUCUCCUUUUUAGAGUUCUUUGUUACUUGUUUUAAGGUCUAGAUCUUAAUCUUAGACAGAGACUAAGACAGGAUAACCGGAAAUAGUUUGUAUACUCAUUGUAAUAAUUGUUUGAUUAAUGAAACUUCAUAAGAAGUUGUCUUAAGGAAAAAUUAAAUGCAACAUGUGAGUUUGGAUAAACCGGUGUAAAACUACUUUUUAUUGUUUUGAUUUACUAAUUUCUCAUACAAUCUAAUCUAAUUGUUAGCAUAAAGUUUUAUUUAACCUCCCAUUCUAAAGUGAAUUAUUACAACAUAUUUCAUUUAAGAUAAUUAAUUAUUUGAGCAUCUUGAACUUACUCUUAAACUUUUGAAACUCAAAAUAAUGAAUAAUAUAUAAAAAUAAUCAAUUAUUUUAUUCUUAGUAUUCUCCAUCACUAUUUUUUCUCAAAUGAUUUACAAAAUCAUACUUAACCAUACAACACCAACAUUCUAUAACACUUAUUACCAUACAUAUACACAUUUUAAACAUAAAAACAAACCCAUUUCAUAACCACUAACUUAAACAUAUGAUGGAACGUUCAAUCAUUAAGUUGAAUUUUCUAACGUGCUACAAUAUUUAGUUGCAAUCAUAAUGUAUGGUCAUGUUAAUACUAGCCUUCAAAAAAUAAAUGAUUGUGAUUAUACUGUAAUAAAACUAAAAACAAUAAAAUUAAACACAUAAACAGUACUUAUAACAUACCAUCCAAAAAUAAUUAUUUUUAGUUGGUUUAUAUUAUUAAAACCUCUCAUUAUUCAUCAUGUCAUUAAUAAUUUUUUUUAAAUGAGUUCAUUCUUAUAAAACAUCAUAUCUAACAUUACUUGAAUAACAAAAUGAACAUCGAUGUUCAUAUUAAUAAUAUUAGGUAUAAAUCAAUACAAGCCAACAUGAGAACUUGUUUUAUUUUUAUAAUCACCUUUAUUUUUACUAUCUCCUGUUACUUGAUUUCCCAAAUAUAAUUGUCAUACAUAAAAAGAAUAACAUUCACAUUAUCUAACAUAUGAUAGCUUACACUUUGUAGGUCCUACAAAUCUACUAACUUGAGAUUUUAUUUAUUUAUUUUAACCUUAUUUAUUGAUGCCCAUAAAAAUAUGUUUAAAGUUUACUUUUGAUUGUCACUUUAUGUAUGAUAUAAAUGAAUUAGUUUAUAUACUUGUAUGUGAUAUAUUUUGAUAAAAUUGGAUAUGUGAUAUAUUUUGAUAAAAUUGGAUUAUUUAUAUUUUAUAGCUUUAUGUAUGAUAAAAUGUUAAUGAUUGUUUUAAAAUUAAUGAAAUAACGUAUUCUGAUUUUAACCGUUUAUAUAUUUUGACCUUGGAAUUGACAUUAUCCAUUCUGAUUUCAAAAUUAAACUUCUAAUCGCAUGUUUUUGUAAGAUUAUUCUGAGUUCAUCAUACAAAAUAUUUUGCAUGUUUAAGAAUAUCUACCAAUUAUACCACAAUAUGAGUACAGAGCACAGAGAAAGUUAUAAUUAAAUUCAUUGAAAAAUGUAUACAGAUUAAAACUUAUAUAAAUUUUAAUAUUUUGCCAACAAUCACUAUAACAAAGUCCCACAUCAUGAAGCAAGGUAAACUAUUAGUAUUAGCAAGUAACAUUUCUUACUCAUUCUUCAUCAUCCACCACAAGUGUUAUAAAGAACCUAUUGUUCUAUUCAAACUCAUAAAUAUCACAUAAAUAUAAAAACUUAGCAUAUCAUAGUAUGAUACAUCAUCAUACAUGCUUUCCACACCUCUAUACCCCUCCGAGUCGCGCGGCCAUCAACCUCUACUCUCCACCGAUGGACGAUUUCAACCGUCUAAUCCCUAUAGCGGUCGUCAUGCCUGUGGCGGCCGUCGAGCAGUCAUCCUUAUCGGUUCUAGGGGUGACUUGCGUUUUUCAAGGGCAGUGAAUUUCAACCUGCCCCGAACACCAAGGACCUCAUCCGAGCGGUCCCUGAGGACGACCUCCUCGACGGUGACGUCGAGAUGAUGUGUCGUGGCCUUAUACUGACCUGCCACGGGGUGGAGGCACACAGGCGGCGUAUUGAGGAGCUCUCGCGCCUCGAGCAUCAGCUUCAGAAGGCGUCCGACAACUUGAAGCAGGUUGUUGAGGCCAACAUAGCUUAUGAGAAGAAGUUGUGUGCGCAAGCUGCCAAGUUGGAGCUUGGUGCGGCCCGGAUGACCAAGUUGGAGAAGGUUGAAGCUGAGAGGGCGACUGAGAACGCUCGGCUAAGGAGGGCCCUGGAAGAGGCCGAGCGCAAGGGGGCAUCUCUAGAAAGAGAGGUUUUUUUUGCAUCAAGGGAAGGAGGCGGCAGAGGCUGAGGUGCUUAAGACCAUGGAGGACACCAUGGUCUUGAUUACUCAGAGCUUCGACCUGGCCGUCCGACAGGCUGGGGUGUUGUACGGUGGGCUUCAACCUUCUGGUCAAUUCGACCAAGAGAUGGAGGUCUUUGACGACCGAUUGGUCCCCAUGAGCGAGGUCCAGAAUUUGCAGAGCGCUGUCCAGCCUGCCUCGAGCGAGGAUGCUGAAGAUCAAAGCUUAGGUUUAUAGGUUUUGUAACCUCGUUCAUUUUGUUUCCUUGAGGCCUGAGUGUGGCCUCCACCUUUUGUUGAUGAAUAGAAUUGGUCAUUUUUGCUUUCAAGAAUUUGCAUAGGUUAUUUCCCUCGGUGGGUAUGAGUGUGAGUUAAAAACAACCAACCUAAUUAACCCCACUGGUGUAAGUUAAUCUUCUCGGUCGUUUAAAAAGUAAAUCAUUUAACGAAUUGGAUUGGGAUGGCGGUCGGCCUUUGAAGCAUAACGAGAUAACGAACAUGUAUUUGGACAAGUUAAAUCACUCGUCAGGUUGGUUCCACGUUCGGUCGUGAUGAGCGAUAUUAGAUGGAUCGAGAUACUCAAAUGGGUAUCGAGAGGAGGUGCAGGUUAAGGCUACAUCCUAACUGAACCGUGCAGUGCUGAAAGGGUAUGCUAGUUAAGGCUACGUCCUGGCCAACACUCGUAUUUGGGUCUCGGGAGGGUAUGUCGGUUAAGGCUACAUCUUGGGCGAACCGUGAAGUGUUGGGAGGGUAUGCCGGUUAAGGCUACAUCCUGGCCAACACUCGUGUUUGGGUCUCGGGAGGAUAUGCCGGUUAAGGCUACAACCGUGAAGUAUUGCGAGGGUAUGUUGAUUAAGGCACGUCCUGGCCAACACUCGUGUUUGGGUCUCGGGAGGGUAUGUCGGUUAAGGCUACAUCCUGGCCGAACCGUGAAGUGUUGGGAGGGUAUGCUGGUUAAGGCUACGUCCUGGGCAAAACUCGUGUUUUAGUCUCGAAAGGGUAUGCCAGUUAAGGCUACAUCCUGGGCGAGUCGUGCCUCUUAGGUUGAUUUUACGAUUUACACAUUAUUUGAAGAAAACGCCUUAUCAAAACCUCUUUGACCGUUGGUGCUGCCGGGCGAGGAAAGAGUGCAUGAAUUUAUUCAUCAUUCAGCUGAAAUAAAAUUUGAGGUGUGUGGCAUUCCACGUCCUUGGUACAAUUUUGCCUGAUAGCCGUUCUAAAUGGUAUGCUCCCCCUACUCCUACUUCUCGAACCCGAAACGGUCCCUCCCAGUUUGACGAAAACUUGCGUCCAACUUCCUAGCGUCGCUUUGCAUCCUCUAGACGAGGUCACCUUUGUGGAAGCUCUUUGGUUGAACCUUCGUGUUAUAUCUUCUUGCCGCCCGAAGUUUGCAAGCGGCUUCGCGGAUCUUGGUUUUAUCACGAAGCUUAUUGAUGAGAUAGAGUCCGACCGCCAAGCUUUCCUGAUUAAGGGAUAAGUCAAACAAUUGUUGCCUGAUGGACGGUUCACCCACUUCCACCGGGAUAAUGGCCUCGGUGUCGUAGAUAAGGUUGUAUGGUGUCUCUUGUGUCGUCGUCUGAGGUGUGCACCGAUAUGCCCACAGAACCUCAACCAGGUCUUCUGCCCAUCUUCCCUUUGUCGCGCCAAGUCUCUUCUUCAAUACAUUCAAGAGGACUUUGUUGGCCGCCUCGACUUGGCCAUUUGUACGAGGGUGUUCGACCGAGUUGGUCACAGACUUGAUGUCGAGGUCCUCAUAGAAUGUCUGGAGCCCUCGGUCAAUGAAUUGUUGUCCAUUAUCUGAUACGAUCAUGUUUGGCAGCUCGAACCUGCAGACGAUGUUCUUCCAAACAAAAUUUUGGACGUUUCUGGCUAAUAUGGGCACUGGGGGUUUGGCCUCUAUCCAUUUCGUGAAGUAGUCCACUGCAACCAACAGGUGUUUCGUCUGACCUUUGCCAGGUGAGAAAGAGUCGAUGAUGUUCAUUCCCCAUAUGGCAAACGGUUAGGGUGACGUCAUGUUGUGGAGUUCUUCUGGUUUUGAGUGGUGUAGGGGGUCGAAUUCUUGACAUUUCAAGCAUUUCUUUACGUACUCUGCACAAAACCUUGGAUAGUCGGCCAAUAGUAUCCUACUUGAAUGGUCGACCAAUAGUAUCCUACUCAGAUGACCUUGGCCGCCAUGAUUCCAUCCGGAGUGAUUACCGCAAGCUCCAUCAUGGAUUUCUUGCAAGUUUGCUUUUGGUGAGGCAAAGGAGUGGAGUACCCCUUCUAAGUUAAAAUUAUAGGUUUAUGUAUGACAUAAAUGAAUUAGUUUAUAUACUUAUAUGUGAUAUAUUUUGAUAAAAUUGGAUUAUUUAUAUUUUUAUAGCUUUAUGUAUGAUAAAAUGUUAAUGAUUGUUUUAAAAUUAAUGAAAUAACGUAUUCUGAUUUUAACCAUUUAUAUAUUUUGACUUUGGAAUUGACAUUAUCCAUUCUGAUUUCAAAAUUAAACUUCUAAUCGCAUGUUUAAGUAAGAUUAUUAUGAGUCCAUCAUACAAAAUAUUUUGCAUGUUUAAGAAUAUCUACCAAUUAUACCACAAUAUGAGUACAGAGAAAGUUAUAAUAAAAUUCAUUGAAAAAUGCAUACAGAUUAAAACUUAUAUAAAUUCUAAUAUUUUGCCAACAAAUCACUAACAAAGUCCCACAUCAUGAAGCAAGGUAAACAAACUAUUAGUAUUAGCAAGUAACAUUUCUUACUCAUUCUUCAUCAUCCACCACAAGUGUUAUAAAGAACCUAUAUUGUCUAUUCAAACUCAUAAAUAUCACAUAAAAAUAAAAACUUAGCAUAUCAUAGUAUGAUACAUCAUCAUACAUGCUUUCCACACCUCUAUAAUAGAUGCAAAUUUAUUUACAUAAUUUUACCUAUAUAUAUAUAUAUGUAUAUAACUAGUAUAUAUGCGUCAUGACAGUCACUCACAAAUUCAGUUACGUCGAAAAAAUCAGAAUAGGUUCAGAAACUUGCGAAUCUUCUUGGCGAACGAAUUUUCCUCGCGGUGCUGGUGGUGAAUCUGGCCGCGGUGAUGGUGUUCGCGAACGGAAUCGAAGCGCUCUGCGGUCGUCAGAGACCGUACCUCGGCGUCGGCGUGAACCGUGACCCAGCGCGGAUGGAUCCGGCUAGCGGAGGCUUUGUCGAGCACGAUCGCGUCGUUUCCGUAAGGGAUCUGGAGGCCGUGGCCGUGGCCGUGGCCGUGGCCGUGGCCGUGGCGGCAGCGGCGGUGGCCGGAGCGGAGUGAAAGCGGAAGCGCCGACGGAUGGACGUGGUGGAAGUGGCGGUUGAUCGGACGGAAGCGGAGGAACGUAAGGGGAACGGGAUCGAUGGUCGCGACGGUGAAGGAAACGGUGCCGUCUUGAGUUUUAGGUUCGGGACUGUUCAGAGGUUCGGAUUGAGGUUUAGGUUCGGGAAAGGGGUUUUGGAGAUCGUGCGCUAGUGUGAGGGUGAGGAGGAAGAGAAAGGAGAGGAAAACGGUAAGGGAAGGAGCUAUUCUCGCCAUGGUGUAGGGCGUGUUUGGCUGUAAAUGUGAAACGGGGAAACGGAAAGAGAUAAAAGGAGUUGCGAGGAAGGAGAAUUUUCUCGCUUAUGUCGUAAGAAUCACGUUGCAGCACGACUUGACUUUGUUCCAGGUAAAAUCAUCAUCACUAUAAUACUUUAUUUUCUUUUAUAUUUUUUUACUAGUUUUAAUGGGUGUUGAUGUAGAUAGAUCAAUAAAAUAAUGAGACGUAUGAAAAAAGGUUAUGUAUUUAUAACAUAUUUUUUAUUAUUAAUUCAAAAAUUCAAAAAAAUAAAUAUGUCAAUUUGUUUCUUUAAUAGUUUUUUAUUUAUAAUUUUUUAUUUUUAAUAAAUUUUAACAAUAAAAAAAAGUAUUGGAAAGAGUGGGUUGCUGACUCGUUCUAAAAAUAUUAAAUUGAUUUUAUAAGCUAUGUAAUAAAAAAGAAAUAUUUGAAAAGGAAGUAAACGAUAAAAAAUUGUAUGUAUGGGUGUUAUUUUUUAAUUUGAUAAUUUUAUAUUCUAAUAAAUAAAAAUAAUAUUUUUUUAAAAAUAAUUCAAUAAUUUCUUUAAAAAAUAAUGGUUGUAUAAUUUUUAUAAUAUUAUUUUUACAAAAUUAUAUAUAUUUUUAAUUAAUUACUCAUAAAAGUAAUAAAAUUAUAAAAUUGCAUAUAUUUUGAUUUAAUAAAAAAUAUGGAUAUACAUAUACUGAAGAGCAUGUGUUUUUCUAUUGUGAAUAAGAGUUCAAUUCAAAUUAGUAAGGUUGUCACCGAGUGUAUGAGUUAAUUUGCGUUGACUUGAUUUAGUUUAUUUAGUUGAUUUAGUUAGUGAUCUUAAAUUAUUUUUCUACACUAAAAAAAUUACUACGGUUAAAAAAAAUACAUUGCAAGUGUAAUGGAUAUUUUUAAUAGUAUAAUUUAUAAUUUUAACAAAUAAAAAGUAUUUUCAUCUUGAGAGUGUUUGUGUUUUACAUCUACUCAAAAGUCAUGUUAGUUGUGAUGUUUUUGGGAGAGUAAACACUUGUUGAUUAUAAAACACAAUAUGUAAACUAAAAAUUAAAAAAAAAAAUCAACAAUUAAAAUAUUAAUAAAUGUGAUUAUACUAAAUAAAAAUAUUUAAGGGUUCUUCUUUAUUUAACUGAUAAUAUAGUGAUGAAAAUAUAAUCAAGAGUAAAGUGUUUGAAACACUUUUAAGGGUUUGGAGGACGUACCAGAAGAGUAAGGACAAUGAGAGUCAAGAAAAUUUUACAAUAAGUAUGAUUCCCUUUUAUUAAACCCAAGAAUGACGACUUCUUUUUUCAUAACGUGGUUCUGAUAUCAACAAAUGGUAUAAACCCUCUUGUUUGUUAAGAUCUUGAGUUUUGACAUCUAGAAAAUCAGACAAAGAAUUGAAACAAGGAAAAAAAAAGUUGAACACUUAAGUUCACAGACAAAGAAUUAGAAUUAUGCAUUAUGAACAAAAGAUAAAAAAUGAUAUAGAAAUUGAGGACGCCACACUUCCCUAAGGACGAAAGUUAUUUGUGAGAAUUGAACAAAAAAAACUAACAAAUAAGGUCAAACAAUCUCCUCUUCAAUGAGACAAUUGAUGAAUAUCAACUUUGAUUCUUCAAGACUUUGUUUUAUUUUAGGAAGCUUUGUCAACCCUUGUUUUGAUUCUUCACAACUUUGUUUUAUUUUAGUAAGUGUUGUCAACCCUUGUUGUAAAGCUUCCUUUUGGCUCUUCUUGUUCUUGCUAUUGUCAUAGAUUCACCAAACUCAUUAAGUGUUUCAAACUCCUUACUUAUGGUUUUGUCCUCGCCACUAUUUUUAAUUGAACUAAGGUAUUAAUGAUUCUAAGAUGUUAUAGAAAAAAAGGAUGAAAUAAAAAAAAUCAUAAAAAGAAACAAUUAUCAUAAAUAAUAAAAAUAUUUUGUUAAUAGUGAAUUGAUAAAUUAAUAAAAUGAGUAAGAAUUAUUAAUGAUGACAUUUGAAUAUAGUUUAAAUAUUCAAAAUAACUAAUAAAAUAGUUUAAAUUAUCUUAUAUAUAUUUAGGCAAUAAAAUGUUUGACAAGUAGUGAGAAUGUGGAAAAAAACUUAUAGAAUAAAUUGUUCAAAAGAGAUUAUAGCUCAAAAAUGAUAAAAUUCAAAAGGUUAUUAUUUCUCUUAUUUAUUGUUGAAUUUUGUUUAAGCAAAUAAUGGUCAAGCUAUUAUUGUUUUCGAGGUAAUUGUAAAAAUUUCAAUAAACAUCAUAAAAAGAUGAACACGUAAACACAAGUUAUAAAAGGCAUAGUAGAGUUCAUUAUUGAAAAUGAACAAAAGUAUACAAUUGAUCAUAAAAUCUUAGUUGAGAUGAUUGCCAAUGAUUGUCAUAUUAGGCAGAUGAUGAAAUCAUGAGUAGCACAACACUAAUUGGGUCAACUCAGCCUCUUAGAAAGGAAAAAUAGGAGUAUGAUACAGGAUCCAAGGUUAACUCAGACAUCUCAGAUUACUAAUGACUCAGGCUCUAUCAUUUCGCAAAGGAUCACUAGGAGUAAAACACAAUAACAAGGAUCAGGACAUCAACUGUUCUCUUUUUUAUUAUUUUUAUAGACUAUGAUUUAAAUGUAAUAAAUUGGGCUUCUCCUUAACCCAAUUAGGGUAAUGUAACCUAGCUUUUAGAAACCCUAGCAUAUGAUGCACCUAAGUCACACUUUUCUCACAUUAAGCACAUGUUUAAAUGUGGAAAGUGUGCUUCCGUUUAGAUCCAUGAUUACAUGCGCAUGUUUAGGGACUUAAGUAGGGUUAAUUUGAAUUUUCCUCCUCCCUUUAAUUACGCAACACCUACUCUUAUAAAUAGAGAGUUUUCUCUUGUAAACUACACUUGAUUUUGAGUAAAGAAACUCAAGUAUUUUUCAAUUAGUCUAAAUUAUCUACUUUUACUCUGAGUGUUAUCUUGAGUGUGAACUUCAAGUGAUGGCUCUUCAUCACUCAUUUUGGAGUCUCCUUCCAAAUGGUAUGAUCAAUCUUCUUCAAUGAAUUUACUUCUUCCAUAAGCUUCCCUGUCUACUACUCUUUUCUAUCUUCUUAUUACUUCAUCUUUUUUAUCUUUGUAUUCAAUUCUAGUUUCCCAUAUUAUACUUCCAUGUCCAUGUAUGUUUUUCUUUAUUUUUCUACUCUUUAAAGGCCGUUUUCACACUUAUAUAAUUCCCUUUGGAUUAUAUUUGUGUCCAAUAACAAUUUUCAUUGAAUUUUAUCCAUAAUUAAAUUCUUCUAAAAUAAUAAAGUGAAUUCUUUAGAGAGGGUUUCAAGUUGUAUCAAGGUAAAUAUUUUUCACAAUUUAUCUCAUUGCGGUUUUCAAUUGAUAUUUUAUGUUAUAUUGAUAAUUACUUUUUUUUAGUACAUUGUUUUUAUUGAAUAAAUAUUGUCUCAUGUUAUAUUGAUAAUUACACCUUUUUUAGUACAUUGUUCUUAUUGUUCUCUCAACUCCUUUGUAUUUUUUACUUGAUCUAGUCUUUUGAAUUGUGCAACUUUUCUUUAGUUAAAUUCUUUUUCAGCUUUCAAUUUUAACUUCUUUCACAUUAUUUUGGUCAUAGACCUUUCGAAUUUUGUGUUUUUCAAACCAUCUUAGCUUGCCCUACCUCCAAGUCAUUUUUGAAUUAUUUGUUUUAGGCUAAAAUUUUUAAAUAUUAUUUUAAACCUUAUAUUUCUUUAAUUAUCUUGUAGGUCUAGCUUUAUAUGUAAUUUUUGACCCAUUAUCUCAUUGUCAAACAUUUUGAGCAUUACUAAAACAAUGCAACUCGAACAUCUGACUUCUUGAAUAUGUAAUAUCCAUUUAAGACUAGAUGUCAAGUUGCAUGAAAGCUUUUAUAAAAAUAAUAUCCAUUUGAGACUUACUAAGAUUCUAUGUUUGAUUCAUUGAAGGCAAAUUGUAUUUCUAAAAGAUCAAAUUAAACAAAUGUUAAUAAAUUAAAUGCAUCAAAAGAGAGAGAAAGGUAAAUGCAUCGAGAAAGAGAAGGGUGAGGCCCUUAUUUUGAUAAAAUUAUAGAAAUAUCAAAAGAGUCAUGUAUUUGAAGAAGUUACAUAUUCGAAAAAGUUGUUCAGACCAAAGCAGGGAUCAUGAAGAGCAUGGAAAAUUACAAUUACUUACUGUACAUGUAACUUUCCAGUGAAGAUAAGUGGACCUUUGACAAACUCAAUGUGUCAUGUAGUAAUAAAUAACUAAAAAAAAUAAGUCUAUAAAUAAAUAUUUGUACUUUUAUGGGGUGGAAAAAAUGAACAGAGUAACAAUAUUUCUAAAACAUGAGAAAGGGUAGUGAAAUGAGUUUGUGUCUUUAUUCACGAACUUUCUAUAUAAAUUAUUCAAGUUAUCAUUAUCUUCUGGAUAAAAUUUCAUUGCAAUUUAUAUUAUUGUUUCCUUAUUUACAAGGGUUAUUGAUAGGAAUUUUCCUAUCAAUUAUUAGAUAGUGGUUAGUUUUCUUACUGAGGAAUGGCUAAAGCAUCCCUUAUUUGAGUCAUUUAGCCAACUAACAAUCAAAAACUAACAUUAGUUGUUUGGACUAAUGGAUUCGACAGUGGUCAUUUGCUAAGAUAGCAUAUUACAAGUGUUAUGGUUUCAGUUUCUGGAUAUUAUUCUUGUUGAGAGGUUCACAUCAACUGAGAACAUUUUUCAUCCUAGUUCUUAUUAUAGACCAUGUUUGAGUCAACACGAGACUCAUCAUCAACACAUUUGUUGAUACAAUUUGUUUGUUAUAUAUAUUAAGGGUAAAGUUAUUGUAAUCAUAUCACUAGUUAAUACAUUUUGCACGUCUUGUAAACCAUAUUAACAUUUUUUUUCAUACAUUGUUAGUGGUUUUGAUUAACAUUAAUAAUAUUUAUAUUUUGAAGAGUAUUAGACAUAAUAAUUUUAUUAUUCCUUAAUUUCAUACAUGUCCGAAACAUUUAAAUUAGUCAUUAUCUCUUUACACAUUUUUCUUACUUUGUAAACACAAGUUCCACUGAACGUGUCAAUUUGUUUUUAUAAAAGAUGAAUUUAGUAUUUUAUUCAAUAAAAAACAAAUGCAGAUUAUAGAUUAUUUUUAUUUAGACUACCAAUCUUAAACAUUAAAUUAUAGGGAAAAUAUAGAAAUGUUCCUUUUUAUAAUUAGUUGAUUUUUGGAAUUAAAAGUACAAAAUGAUAAUUUAUACAUAUUUUUUUAGUUUUCUAAUUUUACAUUUAAAGAAAAUUUGCAUAAAAUGUAAAACUGUUAUAAAAGUAAAUGAUCAAGAUAUGUUGGAAGAUAAAAAAGAUGAAAUACUUAAAAGUCAAAAUUCUAGAUUAAAUAAAAAAAAAAAUCAAAGACUUCAAUAAAGAAAAUUGAAAUUUGUAAAACAACACAAUAUGAAAAAGAUUAACAUUGAAUCAACAUUAAAAAAAUUAAAUGAAAAGAAAAAAUGUAUAUUGCAAUGAAAUUUUACCAAGACAAAGAAAACUUGAAUAACAAAUGCAUAAAAUUGGUUAACAACACGGAUUAUUUCAUACAUUGACAUUUACACUACGUUGGUUAGAUGUCCACUUUUCUUUAUUUACAAAAAAAAAUAGACGUAGAGUAAACAAUUGGAACUUUCCACGUUCUUUGUAAUCUCUACUUCGAUUUAAAUUACUUUUCUUCAUGCAUGAAACUCUUCUUUACAUAAUUUAUAUAAUUUCAUAAAAAUAUAAAUCUCACUCUUUAUCCUUCUUUCUCGACGCUAAUACAAUGUCUUCGUGGAACAUAAAAUCUUUGGUAACUUCAAAAGAAUAUUAUUAUCGAAAAAUUCAAUUCUCUCACCCUCAAAUUUUAUACACCACUGACAACAUAAUUAUAAAAAUAGUUGUAAAAACAAUAAUCAUUAAUAAAAAUAUGGCAGUCAUUCUUAAUUGGAACAAUUCAAUAGUAAAUUGAUAACGACAAGAUAUAGUACGCGACUAACAUUAAGUUAUAAGCAUUUGUUGACCAUCAAAUAGGAUCAUUCAUUUAGCAACAAAAAGUUCCUUAUGAUCUUAUGAUUCAAUGCAGUUCAGCAAUUUCUGUGCCUAAUGCAAUAAAUCACUCUUUUGGGUUUCUCUUUAAUCAAAGAUGCUGUUGAAUAUUUCAUGACUGUUUCUUCCUGCACCUCCAUAUCUUCUUCUGGCACCUCCAUACACAACAUGAAAAUACAAUUUUAUCCUUCUUCCGCCACCCCCAUAAAAUAGCUUCCGGAUUAUGUAAUCUAGAAACGCAUUUGAAAAAAGGCUUCCGGAUUACAUAAUCCGGAAGUUAAAAAAAACUUCUGGAUUAUGUAAUCCGGAAAGUAAUCAUGCAUAUGAAAAAAGACUUCCGGAUUAUAUAAUCCGGAAACUAAUUACAAAUUUGAAAAAUGACUUCCGGAUUAUGUAAUCCGGAAUCUUACAGAGGGGUAUUUUAGGAAAUACGAAAAUGUAUGGAGGUGAGAGAAGAAGGUAUGGAGGUGUAGGAAGAAGCAGCCAUAUUUCAUUCAUCGGUAAGUAGCCCACGACGCAACUAAAAGCAGAUUGUUGAUAAUAUAUUAAUAUUACAAUAUUUAUAAUGAGUUAUAGUGUGAUAAUGAAUUUCCUAGUAUCACAACAUUGUUUAUAAACAGGAGAAUACCUACCUGUUUUGAAAAAAUUCUAUCUUUGACCAUUACGUAUUAAACAAAUUGGAUCACCCAUUUAUGAAGCAGCUGCUACAAAAUUUGAAGGCCUUUCUUUCCUUUGCUAUGGAACAUGCAGAUGAUACAGGCUUUUACCUGAGGACUUGUCACGAGAGAAAAAUACUGAAAUGCCUCCCAAAAUAGAAUGUAUUAUCUUAUUCCAACCUUUUCCACCUCUAAGAGAUACUGAACAUUUAGAUAAAGACAGUAAAUUAACUUUACAAGAGGCUAAAACUAAACAAGAAAUGAAGAUUACUUACCAAGUUGAUGAUGAAGUUAAAAAGCCUUUACUCUAUUGUAACUAUCACUAUUUUGGUUAUCCCCAAAAGCCCCGAAACCACUGCCAUGUGAACCACCAAAUGUGCUGUUCUGGCUUCACUUUCUACCACCAUAUCGAUCUGAACUACCAAAUCCACCGAAACCCCCUCCUGACCGAUUUGAACCAGGGCUGCCAAAACGGCUAGAACUUGGUCCUCCAAAGCUUCCCGUCUCCCCAUGGCUAGAUCGGCCAAACCCGGAGUUAGUGUAACUGCCAGAACUGGAAUUUCCAUAGCUAGAUCCGCCAAAUCCAGAAUUAGUGUAACUGCCAGAACGGCCAAAUCCAGGACUGCGACCAAAACCUGUACCUCCAGAUUGACGAUCCCUCAUACCUCCUGAAGAACCAAAUCGACCACCACUCCAUCCUCCAAACAUAUCUACUGAUCCACUCUGAACAUUAAUCUUUGCUAGCUGAUAAACAAAAACAUUGGAAUAAGAUGUGAGCAGUUAACAUUAUACGACGUAAAAGUCACCUAUAUAUAAGAUCGUAUAAAGGGAUAAAGAAUCUAAAGGGCAAGAUAAAUAAUUACAGCCAAAAGAUUUGGCCUUUCACAUCUUGAAGAUCAAAUAUGUGCACAGGUAUAAUACAAUCGUAACACGACAGUCGAACAAAAAAUCAAAUAAAACAUCUAAGCACUAUCAAAUUUGGCAAUGACUCAAUUUUCUGUUAAUCCGAUGAAGUAAAAAUGAAAAUCCAUAACAAAAGAACUGUUAAUCCGUUAUUAGUUACUGAGAAUUUGCUGGCUAAAGCCUUGAAAGAUGUACAUAAAGCGAGGACAGUUACUUCCACUGCCAAAUUUGACACAACAGGUUCACCUUCCUCUAACUCAUUAUUCAACAAACAAAGAACUUUAGCCUUUCUCAUCACAUCAUUUCCCAUAAACUCGCAGUUUUAGAUCAGAAUCCUUGUCGUAACAUUUACUUUCACUUAACAUUUUACCCCUCGUGAUCCAAGAACAUACAACUAACAGGUUUACUAAUUAAACCAAAGCUAGAGCUAUGGAUGUAUAUCCAUAAUUGAGAAUGAAAUUGAUAAAAUUUGAUGAGAAGGAAAUGUGCAGUCAGCAUUGCAGUAAUAUCACAAUAUACCAAAACUUAAUGUCUUAUCUAAUUGCCAUCACCCUUUAAGGAUUCAAGGUAUUUUAGUCUGAAUUCUGCAGCUUUGUCCCCUCCCUGCUUGAUAUUAUGAACAUCAAAGGCAAAAUAGACCCUCUUAACAGUUGAACAUGGAUUCACAUUUACAUACAUUUUUAAUCCUUUGAGCACAUCAAUAUAACAUCCCGUAUAAGCUACCAUGGAUUAAUGGGUAGAACUCUGCACUUGCUGUGUGCAGGGACAGCUGAACAUAAAUUGUCACCAACUUGAGCUUUAGUACUUAAGACGCAGUGUAGUGAAAACCUAGGUAAGUUAAAGACAGUCUUUCAUAACUAAAUGACAAACUAGUAAGACAUUCACCAAAAAGCUCCCUAACUAAGAGGCGGCACAUUCAAAUGCCCCUUUAAGGUGAACUGGAUUGAAUAGGCUACCCAUCUUGGUGCAGCAAGGACUACAAUAAUAUUAACAAAGAAAGCUACAAUUGUGAAAGAUAGAAGGAUGGAAAUGGAAAAAAAGCAAAAUCACCUCUGUAAAUUUGCAUCCAACAUCACGCUCAAUAGUCUUCACAGUCCUGAAUUGAUCUUCUGAGUAAAUAAGAAUAGCAGCUCCUUUCUUGCCAGCACGGCCUGUUCGUCCAGAUCGGUGAACAAAUAUCUCUGAUGAACUGGGGAGUUCAUAAUGUAUUACCUGUACGAGAAAACCAAGUAAAAAUUUACAAACAGAUAGAAUAACAGUGUAUGUCAGUGUGUUUACAUAUACACAGAAUAUAUAACAUUAAGGCAUAAAAGAUAAGAGUUAAUAAGAUACACACAAGCAAUUAAUAGGGAAAAUGAAAAAGUAAUACAACAAGGACAGAUAAUAGUGAAGAUAAGCAGUUAGAAAGGAAACAUUACCCCGUAAUUUCCCUUCACCCUCAAAAUUUAGGGAAAUCCAACUAUUAAAAUAUGACAAACAUGAUACCAACAACAAAGGAGGAACUACCAUGUAGAAAAUAUGAGCUUUUCUUAAAACUUAAUCAACUAUCAAGAACCAUGUAUAACACAACAAUUUCAAACAUAAUGUUUAGUAAAAUAAAACUUACGAGAUCCACAUUUGGAACAUCAAGGCCACGUGAUGCAACAUCAGUUGCCACUAAAACAUUGAAAUCGUUGUUUCUGAAACCGGCAAGAGUCCUUUCCCUCUGAGUUUGUGAAAUAUCUCCAUGCAAAGCCUCACAUUUAAGGCUUUUUGCCAUCACAUGUGAUAAUCGAUCAGCAUCACGUUUGGUUUGAGUGAAAACAAUACACUUUCCUCCAUUUGCAUGUUCCUAUCAAAGUAUAUACAAUUAGGAAAGGCAUACAGAAGCCUGUUUAAGAAUCAAACAUACUGAGUUGCAAUCAUUUUAGUAAAAAAUAUAAAAUUAUAAAACAGAUUCUUAUAAUAAAACAUCAAUGAUGUCAUUAAUAACUGAUGCAAACGUAAGGAGAAAAGAUUAAAUCUGAAGUCAUACUGUUAUCAGGGGUACAAGAAUCCCUGCUUUAGUGCGCAUAUCAGACACAAUAGAGUACAGUGAAAUUCCAUCUGCCAACUUCUGAUCAGAAUCUCCAACCUACGGCACCAGUAAGUUCCCAAGUAACGUAUUACAAUCAACAAUAAGGAUUCUGCAAGUUAAUCUCAAAUACUUCUUCUUUACAAAGAAAAAAUCAUGGGAAAAUGUGCACACAAAAAAUCGGUACAUUUAAGUUACUUGUGCUAGAUAUCAACGCAAGAAGCCAAUAGCACCAUCAGAUUUACCUAACCAUCAAACUAAAAAUUGAAUGAAGAUCUCAUGCUGCGGCAUAAAUUCCAAAAUUCUAUAUAAUACCUUCUACAAUGAUAUUUAGAGAAUAAACUUACAUAGAACCACUGUUUUUAAUAAACAUGUCAUAGAAAAAGAGGUUAUACAGGCACAAAUAUAGAAAGCUACAAUUUCUUCUGAAGGUUGAGAACACAUGUACUGCUGCCUGCAUAUAAAUACAGAUUAUAUAAUAUUUAUGACAUCUAUAUACAUAAAAUUUCUAGCCGAAAAAUUACCUUAGCUAACUACAACUUUUACUAAAAGUCUGACACUCUGCACUUUAAUUUUAGGGACACAGAAGAGUUCACAGUCCAACUUGUAGAGUUCAGUACAUGUAUUUAUCCCAGUUGCAUUGAAGACAAUGUGAAGAGGAAACCUUAUAUACUAGUUUCAGAUUGACGGACAUAACAUAAUAUGAUAUAAAUUUGUUUGUAAUUUUUAGGUAUUUGCGUGCAUUAAUGUCAUUUUUUUAAGAUUCUCUCUGUAUGCCCUUUAGUAAAAAAAGAUGAUGUCAGUUAAAACUAUUGUUUAAUGUGUUGGCUGUAUCCAAUAAAUAACCAUGCUAGAAUGUUUCAUAUGUGAUAUAAACUGCCUUAGUUCACCAAAAAAUUGAUUUGUUUCGAUUUUCCAAAAUAAUCUUAGGGCCUUUCUGUGAUGCAAAUCCCUAGGAUAGGGAGAUUCUUAGUUUUAUAACUCAAAGGUACUGAUGGCAGCUAACCCUUAAAGAUUAUAACUUGUCUUUGUAUUUCAUCACAAUCACAAUUAGACACCACAAGUUAUAGCUCUAUUCAUGAGUGUUUUCUGCAUACAAUAUUUUUACCUUGACUUGAAAUCACUGCCAAGUUCUGUGCAGGAAGAUUUUCAUCUAUAUGAAAUUUAUUUCCUCACUGAUCACAAAAUCCUGAGCUUUAGAAGAUUCCGUUAAUUAAAUUUGUUAGGUAUCUUCUAAUUUCUCCUCAAAACUCUCUUUGGCCCAUGUCAUGCUAGACUAGGCAUAAUCCCAACAGAAAUGACAUUUGAAAACUUUAUUAACCUUUCUUACUUGUGCCUAAAAUAGAUUUGUAUACUUACGAGAUCAAUGGUAAGGGGGUUGUUUAGGUAAUUGCGGGUAAUAGUCUUUAUCCAAGGUGGCAUUGUUGCUGAGAACAUAAGAGUCUGACGAUUUGGAGAUAAAUUCUCCAAGAUCUUCUCCACAGCUUCUUGAAAUCCUACUUGAAGCAUCUGAUCAGCUUCAUCAAGAACAACAAACUUUACAUCCUUCAAAUUCAGUGCCCUCCUAUUGAGAAGAUCAAUAAUUCGACCGGGUGUGCCUACAGCAAUAUCUACACCAUAAUUAAGCUGCCUCAUUUGUUGCUGGAUGGGCAUACCUCCAUAAAGACAGAUCGUGUCCAGGUUAGGUGCGGCCUCAUUGAAUUCCUUCUCAACCUGCCGUGCAAGUUCUCUAGUUGGAGCCAAAACCAUAGCCAAAGGAUCUUUUCCUCGCCUGCAAUGAUCAAAGACAAAAAUUUGUUUAGUUGAAGAAACAAAUCAAGAUUAGAUACGACCAUUACCUAAUCCUGCUUCCAGCAGAAAAACAAGGCUACAGAUUCAAGUAAAAGUAAAAUGUAAGUGUAACUAAUAUAAAGUACCCAUGCUUAGCAUUAAGCUGAAUAAUCCGGUCUAAGAUGGGUAUCCCAAAUGCAAGAGUUUUCCCAGUUCCUGUCCUAGCUCGACCAAUCAUAUCACGUCCCUGCAUUGCAGGUUCCAGCACAGCUUUCUACAACAACAACAACAAAUAAUUGAGCACCUCAUGAUCAAAGAUGAUAAAUUUUGUAAACAGUUCUAUAUGGCAUGAUUUAGUUUUCCUGAUAUUUCUGUAAACAGACUUCUGCUAUCUUUUACAACCCCAAAAUAUUUUAACACGUAUGUAAAUAUAAAAUAUAUUAUCCGAACUUAAUUCAUUUCACCACAGGUUUCUAAUAAUAAUACUUGAGCUCCGGCCCAAAAUAUAGCAACAAAUGACUUUUAUGAAAUUCCUAUGAUACACAUUUGCCUUCUUUUUCAACCAAACUAUUUCAAAUUCAAACAAAUUACCUGAAUGUAAUUAAAAUUAUUCCCUCCACAAAUAGUAAUGAUAAUAAUAAUUAUUAUUAUAAGAAUUAUAAAAUUGAAUUUUCACACUCUAUAUCAAAUUAAUAUAUCCAGAAAUAAAAAAUGUCGUCAUCUAAAUAAUUUAUUACAUAAUGUCCACCUUGAUAUCAAAAGUCUUCUCUCUCUAAAUUUUCCGUUUAGUGCUUAAUUUCAUAAUUAUUGAAUAAAUGAUAUUUUGUUUUACAUAAUUUUUUUAAAAUAUUCAAAGUUUAAAAUACAACUAAACUAGUUAACUGAUUUCGUAAAAUUUUCCGACAACCGGUUUCAAGUUAUUUACCAUUUCCCUUCUCCAAACUACAAAACAAAUACGAACCUAACAACAUCAAUUAACAAAGCAAAAACCUAAAACCAGAAAAAGUCACAAAUUGCAAAGAAAACUGAAAACAACAGUGAAUCGACGUUUACCUGAAUAGGAAACAGCUUUGCGAUCCCUUUCUUGGCCAAAGCAUCCACGAUCUCCCUCGAGAUGCCGAGCUUCGCGAUCUCGAGUCCUUCGUCGCAGUUCGUGCCGGAACCGACCUCUUCAUUGGAGUAGUCGCGCUCCACGGCGAGCUGCGCCCCGCGAGAAACCGGCGACGAGCGGAAGUUCAACGGUCCGGAUUUCGAAUGCAAGGAUCUGACUCCAACUCCGUCGCUGGAGCCACCGUGCCGGAGCACGGCGAGUCCGCGGUGGCGCGGAAGCGGUUGGAUGGAGGCGAGAGUGGCGAAGAAGCGGCGCGAGAUUACGGAGGAGGAUCUUCUGAGUAUCACACUCGUCAUGCUGGUGACACUGAUUGGUGAAGAAAUUAAGGUUUAGGGUUUUGUUCUUCACACUGAGGAAGGUUUUGAGAAAUGGAGUGCGAUAAACCCUUUAAAGGUUUUAGAAGGGUUUUAUGUGUUAGGGUUUUAGGGGUAGAAAUCCUGUGCGGACGAGUCUACAUACCUUUUGUUUCACCAAAAUACUAAAAAAAACUAUUAUUAAAUUUAAAGCAAGAGCAAUAAGUUAUACAUUUUGAGAGGCUACUCCCAUUUUUUUUAAUAAAAAUUACAUGUUAGGUAUUUGGAAUUUCAAAUUAGACUCAUAUUCCAAAAUUCAUUAAUCAUUUGUUCAAAUAUGUAAAAUGUAAUAAAAGAAAAGAAAGAAUAUGUAAAUAUAGAGGCUAUAUCAAACUUAACUUAUGUAAAAAAAAAAAAACAAUUACAACAAAAAAAAUGCAAUUGAUACCGGUUAUGAACAAAAUUCAGACUUCAGCACAACAGAAUGCUAGAGAAAAUUCAACUUAUCAUGAGUCUUGAGAUCAGCUAACUUAUUUACACAAUGAUUGCCUUCACGAAAAAUAUGAAAAACUUUAACUCAAUCUUCUCACAAAUUUGCAUACAUCUUCUCCAUUUGCCUCUAAGAGACCAAGGCACCACAAUAGUAAAGAGAAGACUUGGCAAAACAAUGAAGAAUCACAUUCCAACCAGAGUUUACUAAAUCUAGAGGCUUGUCUUGAACAAAGGCUUUGAUGACUCCAACCAAAUCUUGAAGAAUUGUGUGAAGUCCUAUUUUGCUUGUUUAGUUGAGUAUUUCGUAGUGUUUGAAUUUAUAGUCCACUUCAAGAAUUGAUCCAAGGUCAUUUGAUCUUGAAACCUUUUAAAAGAUAUGUUUUCAAAGAGAAAUGGAAAAACAGCCAAUUGUUUUAUCGUUUCAAUAUAUUGUUUUACACUUAUAAGCUUUUGAAAGAGUUUGAAACAAUUUGACUUUGGUUGACUUUGUUGUCAAACUAAUUCAAUCGGUUGUUUCCAUAAAUCAACCGAUUGAUUUUUUAAAUUUCUUAACAGAGUUUUGUUAAGUCUGUUAAAUUUAUUUUGGUUGGUUUACAAACUACUUUGGCUUUUGUUCUUAACGUUUUAACAACUACUUAGAGUCUAUAAAAAGGGUUUUAUACUCCUAGCUGAGAUACAAUUAACAAGAGAUUCAUAUUGCAUUUUUUGAAAACAGUUUUCCAAAGAUUGCCUAAGGCUUUCGACUUUUCUUCAAGAGGAAUAAGACUAUUGUGUCCUAAGUCAUUUUUUAAUUCUGUGAAUUGAUCCAAGUGUACUCUUUCCUCUUCUUUUAAUCUUUGUAUUUCUGUAGAGAACUGUGUUGCACAGAGUCGGAGGGUGUUUGAUAUGUGGUGUGUUGUAAUUGCCAAAGGAAGUGUGUGUUCUUGAGGGAUUCAAGAUCACUUCUUUGGUGUGUGUGGUUUGUAAUCUGUGGUUGAUUGCAUAGGGAAAUACCCAAUGGUUUCUGGGGACUGGAUGUAACUCUUAGUUAAGAGUGGACCAGUAUAAACCUGUUGUAUUGAUUUCUCUUCCCCUUAUCUCAUUUAAAUCUGUUUUUUAUAUACUGCUAAUAAAAACAAUCGGUUGAAUUGAAGAAACAACCGAUUGAUUUUCUAGAAUCAAGUUAAAAACAAAUUUGAUUUUGGCUGAUCUUGUUUUGUAUCUUUGAUUCUACUUAUGACUUUCAUUAAACUUUCAAAGUUUUCGAAAAUUUUGCAUAAACAAUUCACCUCCCCCCCUUCUUUUUUUAGUCCUGAAAUUCUAACAGCUUGAGAAUGUUUAAUAGUAAGAAUGACUCUCAUAAUCUUAUCAUAUAAGGCAGUAUGGAUCCCUAAAAGAAGCAGAAAACUCACGAAUGUACUCACCACAACUACCUUUAAAAUUGCCUCCACAAGUAGUUAAAUCAGGACUACCUCAAACAACAUCAUUUGUAUUAAGUUUGAUUCAACCCACUUCUAGAAACCACCAGAAGACUUGAAUAGGAGUCACAACUUUCUCGGGUCUAGUACAAACAUAAAAAAACUUUAAAGUAGAGAAAUCCUUAACAUUAUUAGACAUAUUCUUCCUAGACAAAUUGCCCAAAGAUACGAAUGUGAUCCUUAAUCAUGUGGAGAGAAGAAUCCAUAUUGAUGCACUAUUGAAAUCUAGCAUGAUUUCUCAUAUGCCAGAUCAUCCAUAAAGCAAACAUAACAGCGACAAGUCUGAAAUGCUGAAUAAUACGACUACCAGGGGCCUUAAGGAAAGCAACCAAAUUCAAACCUGGAAGGUUAAUGAUACUUAAAAAAACAUUAUGAAGCCAAGACCAAAUAAAAGUAAUGUAUAGUAAAAAAAACUAUUAUGUGACACAAUUAUGUACUAAUACUAAAGGUAAUAUGUACAAGAUCGACAUAAACAAGUUUUUAGAUAAAAAAAAAAAGUCUUAUAUCUCAUGACUAUCAAGGAUCAUUAAGUUUGACAUAAAAAGUGUGGACAUACGAGAUUGAUGUUACUCUCAAAAUUGCAAAAACAUAACCUUGUAAGAGGUUUGUCAAUAAUGUCAUUCAAAGACAAUCUUAUUUAUGCAACUUGUAUAAGAGAAAAACAUGUUAAAACCUCGUUUAAAAGUAUCAAUAAUGUUUAUACACAAAUAUCUCUUGAGCUAAUACACUUAAACUUGUUUGAUCCCACCAGAACUACGUCUAUCAAUGAAAAAUGUUACAAUCUAGUCAUGGCAUACAAUUACUCUAGAUGAACAUGGUGAAAUUCUUUAACCAUAAGGAUGAGACUUUCAAAGUCUUUUACAAAUCGUAAACAUGUUAAAAAUGUAAAAGAUUUGUCAAUUAUUUCUAUCAGAAGUGACCUUGGAGAAAAGUUUGAAAAUGAAAACUUUAGAGUUUUUUUUUUGCAAAAACUAAUAUUUUAGAUUUAGGGUGUUUUCUAAGAAGAGGAGUUUCCCUUUCCAUACUCAAUUUUGCAAAAAGUUAUGUUUUUCCAUUUAAUUGUUUUUUGGAAGUUACAGUUGCAUUUGCAUGUUUGUGAUAAACUCAGUUGUUUCCCUAUUUUUUGAUUUCACGAGAACCUUAGAACAACAAGUAUUUAUGACCUUGUAUUGUAUUCUAUAAAUGAGUAUUGUAGGGAUACAACCAUCAUUCAUGUCUCAACCAUGUUGAAUGUUUAAAAAUAUUAAACUGUGAUAUUUGCAUGUAAGAGACUCAUUAUUUUGUUUAGGUGACACUUAAAAUUUAUUGGUUUCUAACUUUAAGACUAUUUCAAUUUUCCUUUAAGAUACAUAAGGAUUAAUGCAUUAUGUCUCUCGUUCAUGAGGGAUCUAAUUGUUACCUAGACACAUACUAUGUGGAAGUAUUUGUAUUAUUUUUUUGCAUAUACUUUGAUUGAAUCCAUUCCUCUCCAAAAUUUGGAUUUAAAGGUUAUUUUCAACAAUUUUGAUGACAUAGUUAGAUUUAUUAUGUUUUGACUUGGCAAAAGUUUUAAGAGUUUUCUUCUGGUGCUUGAAGGUGGUUCCAUAAGUUGGCACCAGAGUUAGGUUGGAGGUCUUCAAAAGAUAAUCACUCCUUUCUUUUCUUUUUGUCUUAAUUUUUAGUCUUGUUCAUAAUUCCUUUGAGUUUAGGAUAGUUUAAUUUUAUUAUAUGUUCCAUGUCUAGUUUUGUUUUUAAUUGAUUUAAAUUUUUAUUUCAAUUUCCUUAAAUCAAUUGUAUGUUUUAGGAAACUCUAUAACAUGUUUUUGCUCAAUCUUUGGUCAUAGUUUGAUUUUGUUUGUAAAAAUUAUUACUUAAAUUUAAUUUUUUAAAAUAUUUUGGGUUGUUUAGAAUCUUGUUUAACUCAUUUAAUUGUUCACAUUUUUCUUAGAAGUAGCACAAAUUUUUUUUGCUCAAUCUUCCAAAGUCUUUAGCAUGAAAAUUGAAAUAUAUACUAGUUUUUCUUCUUGAUUUGAGUUCUCCUUUACUUUUUUUUAAAAGUUAUGAGAAAUCUUUCCCUCCAAAAUAUAGUGGUAGACCACAACCUUCUAAUUUUUUUUCCUUGGUUUUUGUAAGUUGAAUAACUUGUUUGAAUAUGUUGCACACUUUACUAGUUGAUUUUGGAGUUGAAUUUGAGUCAAAUUUUUGAGUUGUUCUUAAAAUUGAAUUUAGAAACAUAAAAGGAAAAGUCUCUCAUUCUCAAAAUAGCAAAUAAAAUAUGAGAAUUAUAAAGAACAUAAUAUAAGCCGAGACAUAUACAUGAAAAAAAUAAAGAUUAGAACAAUUCGCAUCACACACUACACUCUUUGAUUCAUUUGCUUGCUUUGCUAUUUGAUUUUAUGACUUGAAUUGUAUAGUGAAGCAUCUUUGGGUGAAAUUUUCUUUUUUAUUUCAAUUGAAAACUGCAAUUUUAUAUGUGUUACAUAUUCUUGAUUCAACUUGCAUUUAGUAUUGUUUGUAUUUUAAUAUUGUUUUAAGUACUCAAAAUCUAUAUCUCAUUAAGCUUCCUUUCGUAUGAUUUCUUUUAAAUUUUUCUUAACUUAUGCUUGUCAUUUUUUUUUAAAUUCUUUGAGUUUUGUCAUCUUUCAUCUUUCAUUUGAAAUUUGUCUAAUUCUAAAUGAGUUUUUCUUGAUUUUAACUUCUUACUCUUAACUGGAAAAGAAAAAGGCUUAACUCUCUUAUUUUGUUUCUUGAGAAUUCACCUCUUCCUAUGGUAGCAUUUGAGGUCUUGGUGGAGAAUUAUUGAAGCUACUUCUUUGGUGACCAUAAGAGCCAAAAAAAGGACUUUUAAAUGAGUGCAAAUACUUGUGAGAAGAGAUAAUUUGAGAGUUGUAUCAAAAGCUACACAAAAGUACUUCAAAAACAUCAAACACAAAUUGGUGACAAAAUUUCCCUCACAAACACCAAAACGAACUCGUAUCUAAAUUCGUUGGUAUUAUGUGCUUGUGUUCUUAAGUUGCUUUUGUCACAAAAGUUUGUGUUGAAAAUUGAAUUUUUCUAUUCUUUUGUAUUCUCUUUCAUUUCUUGGUUGUCUUGUAAAAAUAUCUUUAGUACAAUCUCAUGUCCCAAAGUAAACAUUGUAAUGAAAGUUGUAUACUUGUGGAAGUUUUAAGGGGCUUACAAGUGUCACUUGGACUUUCAUAUUAGGCAUGUAUAGUUUACAUUUCUGUUAAAGUUUAAUUUCUUUACUUUAAAAUUCGUUAGUAGCCUUAACUGGUGACAAAAACUUGGAUUCGUCUCAACAUGCUUAGAUGACCUUCACUUGGAUCAAGUAGGGGACAUGCACACACACACUUAAAUUUUUUUGUAAAAAUAUUUGUCAUCCAUUUUUGUGAAAACCUUUCAAAAUCUUGAGAUAAUAUUUUAAUAAAAAAUGAGUGAUCAUUUUACACAUUCUAGGCCUUCUAGUGUGCAUGUAAGCUAUAGUGAUCAUAAUGAAGAAUUAAAUUUAAAAGAUGAGAUUAGAAACUUAAAAAAAAUUGAUAGAAAAUUUGAGAAAAAUGACGAGAAAUUCAAUAAAAGAGAUGAAGAUAUUGAAAUCAUGUUUGCUCAAAUAAUGAAACAAAGGGAGAAAAAACUAGGAGCAAACAUGGAGAGAGUUCACAAAGAAGAAAAGAACAUUAUAAAAAAAACCUAAGGUAGACAUUCCUCCCUUCUAUGGAAAUAAUAAUAUUGAAGAAUAUUCAGACUGGGAGAUAGAGGUUGAGAAACUUUUUGAAUGACGCCCAGUACAUGAAGAGAGAAAAGUGUCCAUGACUACUUUAAUAUUUUAAGAAUAUGUUAUAUCUUGGUGGAAAUAAAGGCAAUGUAAUGUUGUAAUUAUAAGAAAAAUAAGGAUAUUGAAAUGGCAUGAGUUAAAGGUUUGCAUAAGAAGAAAAGUUUUUCCACCUUCUUAUGAGAAAAAUAAAAAUCAUAGAAAAGAAAUGGAAGAGCUUGUAGAAAAAGGAAAAAAAAUUAUAGUAAGAGAAUUUUUUUUUAUAAGAGAUAAAGAAUUUAGAGAAAAAGUACAAGCUUUAAUUAAAAAAACAAGAGGAGAAUGAAAAGAUAGAAAAAAAAGGAGGAAGAAAGGAGAGAAAAAAGAAGACAAAUAAAUAAGAGAAAAGGAAGAAAAAUAAAUGUUAGAAAAAAUCCAGAAAAGAGAAAGAGUCUCUUAUCACACCCCUUACAAACAUAGUUGAGAAAAAAAAUCCUUAAAAGGAAAUUUUAAUAAUUUGAACUCUUCUUUUAAUUCAAAAUACGACCUCAAGUUUUUCAAAUAAAAUUUUUUCCUAAAAUAAAGGACAUUGUUUCUUUACUCUUUUCUUUAGACACAUAGGAGUAACUUAUCCUAGCUCUCCUGAAGAAUCCUUUCUUGGGAAAGCAAUUAUGAGUCUCUUGAAAAAGUAUGAGUCUCUUGAAAAAGUUUAAGAAUUUUCAUUUUCUUUUGUUUCUUGGUGGAGAAGAUGUUUUUCCACUAGUUUGUGAUGGAAAGGAACCUUUCUCCCAAUCAGUGGAAGAUAACAAAAUUUUAAACUUUCCAAGUUCCUUGAUGAACUCAGAUUUUUCUCUCUCAAGAAAGGUUUCUUGGGGAGAAUGAAGAGAAGAAUAAUCUCAUUUAUGAUCCAAUAGAACAUUUCAAAUGCAUAAUGUUAUUUCAAGUCUUAUUCAAUCAAAGGGUGAGUGUGCAGAUGACAAUAAAUUUUAUUUAUAGAUGGAUAGGCCCCUUCUUUUCAUAUCCUAGGAAAUAUGGAACUUAAAAAUAAGCAAAAAGUGAACUAAAUAAGACACAAAUUUGAAGCAUGCAUGGCUAAACACUAGCACACCCAAAAUGGCUUAAAAUCAACCUCUCCCAGGUUAUGUGGGACUUCCAUGCUCUAAGCUCUUUCACUCCCAUGCCUUACAUGUUUUGACCAUGCCUCCUAGGAUUUUUGGUUGUUUCUUCAAGCCCAAAUCAAGGCCCACUUAAGGUCUAAGCUUACUUCUACUAUUACGAAAGAGUGGACUUUAAGCCUAACUCAACCCCAUAAAACCGGCACACACCCCCCUCACGCCGAGAGUGAUAGAUAGAAGCUCGUGCGUGGGACUAUAUAUUAUGGGUGGUCCGAUAGCGGCCCGAUAGCGGCCCGAUAGCGGGUGGCCUGAUAAGCCCAACAAAUACUCGCUAGGAUAGGCUCGAAAUGGCUCUGAUACCAUAUUACGAAAGAGUGGACUUUAAGCCUAACUCAACCCCAUAAAACCGGCUCAUAGGGUUGAGGUUUGCACCCACUUAUAUACUAUGAAAGACUCUAAUCUCUAGUCGAUGUGGGAUCUCCAACAUCUACCUCUACAAAAUCUACAAAGAACUACAUAUAUACAAUUUAUACAAGGCUAAGAAGAAAGAAGAAAAUCCUAGUUUUCUACUCUUCAAAUGCAUAGUCUUCUUUCAUGUGGCUUCAUCUUUUUCUAUCUUUUUGGCCAAUAGUUUUGAGGCUAUAUGAUUUCCAUCACUUCAAGCAUAUAUAGUUCUUUCUAAGAAAUGUUGGGAAUUUUCCAAUUAUCCAUUUCUUGAUUGAUCUCUUCAAAACAUAUUUUCUCAUUAAAAAAAGUGUUUAGACUUGAUUUCUUGUUCAUUAAGCUUUAUAAACAGGUUUGAUGGUUUUGAGAAGGAGGAGAAGGCAUAUUUAAGGAAAAACUUAGAAAGAAAGUAAAUAAGACACAUAUCACAAAUUUUACAUCUUUUCUUUCAUUUGUUUAUCAUAGAAUAAUUUUUAAUAAAUCUAAGUUAUUAUAUGUUGAAUGAAUUUAGGUUUACAAAAACUAUUUUUUCACUCUUAUGUAUAUGAAUUCUAUUUAUAAACUAAUGAGAUGUUUCACUCUUUAAUCUUAUUUUAAAUGAAAGUAUCGUGAAAUUAGACUUAUUACCCACAUUAGAAUAGAGAUUUUCUAUUACAACCUCAUUUAAAAUAAAAUCAAGAAACUUGUACUUCUAACAUACUAGUUUUCAAAUUAAAAGAAAUUAUCAUUUACAUUAUUCUUAAGCCUUCCAUGUAGGAGAUAAGUCUAAUUAAGAUUUUACAAAUAUAAUAUUACUAAAUUCAUAAAGAUAUUUUUCAUUAAUAGAAUUACUUUUAAGUAGAAGUUGAUUGUGGUUAUUUUUGGGUUCACAUCUCUUAGGUGAAUUUUCAUUUAUAUGCUAGUGUUAUAUCUCAACCAAUGAUAGUUAAGUUUUUUUUUUGUCGACAUCAUGUAUUUUUUUUAUGGCAAAUCAAUUUUUACUAUUGAUAUCAAUUUGAGAUAUUUUUAGUUAAUGUUAAUCGUGUUGUUUUUGGGCAACAUUAAUCAAAUUUAAAUGGAACUUAUUUUGUUCAUGGAAGUUGGAGAUUUUGGGUGAACCUAGAUAAAGUUAUUUUUUCUAUUGACAUUGUUAAAAUUAUUUUUAUAUCAAUAAACAUCAAAGUUAUUUAUGGUGAAUAUUAUUUACAGUUUUCUUAAUCAAUAAUAGUGGAAUUGUUUUUUAUUGAAUUCAAACAAAAAAUUUUAGUUGGUAUUUAUUGAGGUUACUUUUUGGCUAAUGUUUGCAAGGAUUUUUUUAUUAACGCCAACAAUGUUAUGUUUUGUUUUAAGUCAAUAACGAUUUUGUUUUUAAUAUUGAUUGGGAAAACUUUUGAUUAACCUUGAUUAUAAAUUUUUUUCAUCAAGUGUUAGUUGAGAGGAUUUUUCAGUUCAUGUUAGUAAAAGAGUCAAUAAAAAAUAACCCCAACUAAAGAAAUUGAAAAGAUAUAACAGUCAACGAAAAAAUUGUGGUCAGAAUUUUGAUAAAUGUGAAUCGUUUUUUUUUUCAAUAUUAAUUAAAAAUAAUAAUUUUAAUGAAUUUUGUUGAAAAAUAGUUUCAAUCAAAAUUGAGUAUAAAUAUCAACAAGUAAUAAUUUAAAUUAUUAAAUAUUUCUUAAUAUAAAAAUAAUUUUUAAUUUAAUUUAUUCUAUAUAUAAAAUAAAAAUUUAAUAAAUUUAAAUUGUCUUAUUAUAGAAAAACAUUAAAAAUAAAUCAUUCUCUAACAUCAGUUAUUUUUUUUGUAAACUUUUUGUUAAAAAGUAGUCUCAACCAACAUCUAGUAUAAAAUCUUACUAAGUAAUAUUUUUAAAUUAUUAAAUUUCUUUUAAUAAUAAAAUAUUUUCUUUUGUAUUUAGAAUUUAAGUAAUUUACAAAAAAAAUUUAUUAAAAAAUUAAAUAAAAUGUAAUAUAUUUUAAUUUAUGAAGUCAAACACCUUAUUAAUUUCAUAUAUAUUUUAGCAUUAGAAGUAUCUUCAAGGUUUGUUACUUUGUAAAAAAAUGUACUUAGAACAAAACUAAACUAAUAUCAAACAGUAUCUUAACUUGAGAACAAAUAAAUGUUUGAUUAUGACUUUACAGAGAGAAAAAAAUAUUUAUCCAAAGUAAUAAUUUUUUUAUUUCUUUGUUGUAUGUUAAAAUUCUAAAAUAUUCAUUGAAACUUCUAGAAACUGUUUUCAACUUACUCUAAAAAUGUAAUGAAAUCACUUGCAAAACCCUAUCCUUCGAUAUUUCUGAUCAAAGUUACAAACCUAAGAGACUCAAUUUUUUUAUAAAAGGAAAAUUCUACAAAAUAACCCAAAUGAUGAAAACUACUAAAAAAAACGGAAACAGAGUUUAAGCAAUAUUAAAAUGAAAGCAUAUUAUUAGUUCUAAUUUUUUGUAGUUUAGGAAACUAAUUAAAAAUUAAAUAAAAGUUCAAAAACUUACUGCUAGAGUAUUCUUACUUUUAAUGAAUAAUUUUUUAUUUAUCAAAUUUGUCAAAAAAAAAGUUGCACAUAUAUAUAUAUAUAUAAAUAUAACUUUCUUUAUAAUAUAUAUAUAUAUAAAUAUCACUUUCUUUAUAAUUUGAAAUAUUUUUCCAUACUACUUAAUUUAAAUUAUGUAAUUUGUUCUUACAACAAGGACCGAGAAUACUCGAAUAGGUUGACAAAACUAACUUCUUCCAUGAGUCUUCCAAUUUUGGGCUUCUCUUGGCUGUUUCUUAGGCUGGGCUUUCUCAGUUGUUCCUUAGGUUGGGUUCUCUCGGCUUCUUCUCCACACAAAUGGGUUGAUGUACCUGCAAGGCGCUCCGAUGCCAAAGUCGGAAAUGGUUUUAUGUAUGUUCAUCAAACAAAAAUCACUCUUACUUACCUCUUGUGUUGACCUCCUAUUUAUACAGUUUUCUUAAUGGGCUUACAUUUUACCUUUGGAUUUUCUUUAUACACCGUUUUAUUAUUUACGCACCCCUCGGCAUAACCUGUCAAUUAUUUUUAUAUGUGGUUCUCGGCCUCUCAGUUUUAGCCUACCAGUACAAAAUCUUAUUUUAGAUUUUAUAAUUAUGUUAUAAAUUAUAAAAUCGAAAAUAUUAUUUUGAAUUAUAUAAAUUGUAACUUAGAAUUAUAUAAUUUUGUUUAGUUAUAUAAUCUAGAAUUAUAUUUCAAGUUAUACGGUUUAGAAUAUAUUCUAAAUUUAUUAUGAUAAUUAUAAUUGGUUGAUUUUUUUAUAUUAUAGGAAUGAAAGAGAAAAAAAAAGUAUGGAAUGAGGAAAAAAUUACCUAAUUAAAUAACUAUAAGUUUUUUUUCUUUAUUAAUAAUAUAAUAUAUUCUUUAGUUUUAGUUAAUUACUCAUAAAAAUAGCAAAAUGGGUUGUAUGGCUGUUAUCUUCCACUUAGUCAUUGAAAAAAAAAAGAUAAAAAAAGAUGGGAUAGGAUAAGUUAACUAGCUUUAAUGAAACGAAAUUUUUUUUUUAAUUAAUCUUAUUUUGUAAUUCACAAGUUAAUCAUUAAAGAAAAAGACUUAAAAAUUCAAACAUUAUCUAAAAACUAAGAUUUUUAAACAUGAUAAAAAAAUCAUAUAAUUACUAUUAAUACAUAAACUAUUAACCUAUAAAUCUAAAUAAAAAAACAUUCUGUCAGAUGGAAUUAUCUUGAUUCUUUCCUUUUUUUUUUAUCUAUGUAGCUUGCGUAGAACAAGUCAAAAUAAAUUGGUAUGUUUUUACAUAAAUAUAUUAGAAAAAAAUGAAUCAUUUUAUAAGAUAAAAUAAUUUAUUUCAUAUAAUUUUGUUAAAUUCUUGUUUUAAAUCCAAUUAGUUAUUAACUUUAGCUUAUUAAAAGUUUUUUUUUUUAUAAUUUUUCUUUCCUAAUUUUUUUGAAAAGAAACUUCUCCAAACAAAUCCUAAAUAUAUUAACAAAAGUUAUUUAUCGGAGAUUUAUAUAACUCUAGGAAUGGAUUUAAUUAAGAGAAGUUUUUUUAACCUUCAUUAAGUUUCAAAAACCUCAAUAAAAUAACGGAAAUUUUUUUAACCUUCGUUAAAUUUCAAAAGUUUAUUUUAAGACUUCAGCAAAAUAAUGGAGGUUUUUUUAACUUUCAUUAAAUUCCAAAGAUUUAUUCUAAAAUUUCAGGAAAAUAACGAAAGUUUUUUUUAACCUUCGUUAAAUUUCAAAGGUUUAUUUUAAAACCUUAACAAAAUAACAGAGGUCUUUUUUAACUUUUGUUAAAUUUCAAAAGUUUUUUCUAGAACUUCAGCAAAAUAACAGGGUUUUUUUCAACCUUCGUUAAAUUUCAAAGAUUUAUUGUAGAACAUCAACCAUAUUUUUCAAACUUCAAUAAAUAAAUAUAAUUAAAUCUAUUUAUAAAUAAAUAAUUUAAAACUACAUAGUUUUAAGAUAUUUUAUAACUAAAUUCUCUAAAAUUUUGAAAGUGUAACUUUACAUUACAAAUAAGUUUUCUAAAGUUUCAAAAUUUUAUUUUAAAAACUCAACAAAAUAACAUUAGAUAAUAAGUAUAUCAACAAUUAAUCUUGGAUAAUAAGUAUUUUAACAGUAUUUGCAUAUUUUUUAUGAUUGAUGGUAGUUGAUUUAUAUAAUUCAUAGUUUUUUUUUUGUUACGAUUUCAUACUUCGAAAACUUGACUUAUUUUGUUUUAGCUUUUGAUGUACAUAUAUUUUAUGUGCAAUUUUAAUUUUAGUUAUAAUUGUUAAUAUUUAAUUAUCAUAAUUUUUGAAAUAUUCUAAAUUAAUGCCUUUAUUUUAAAAUGCAUCUAAUAAGUAAUUCACUAUGAAAGUUAUAAGUGAUAAAGUGAAUUUCUCCUUGCAAUAUGUUCUUGAAAUCUUUAACUAAGAACACACAUGGUUUUGAAGCCCACAUCUGAUAUAAUGAAAUUAUUUAGGAUAUAUAAAGUAGUGAUAAACACCAAUUGUUGUUGAGUUAGGUAACAAUGACUUGUGAUCCAAGUUGGGGCAGUAAGGUAUAAGGAAAGAAGCAAUAUUGGAGUAAGAAGAGGAUAAUGUCUUAUUUAGUGUUUCUUCUCCUUAGAUAUAAUAAACAUAAAUGUGGUUGAAUUGUGAUUCCUUGUUAGAACUGUCGUCGACAACUAUUAAGCCUGUUCAGGAGAGCAGUGUGUCUACGGUGGAAGAGAGAAGUCAGGAGGAUCGUUAAAGAUGGUGGAAAAUGGGGUUAAAGAUUAUUUCAAACGGUAAGUCAUUUUAUGGAAAUUUUGAAACUCAUGGUAUUUUACUGAGGCUCUUAAACCCAUGGUAUUUUACAGAGGUUUUGAAACCCAUAGUAUUUUAUGGAGGUUUUGAAACCUAUGGUAUUUUACGAAGGUUCUUAAUGUAGGAACUAAUUGAAGGAAAUAAGAGAA